AUACGGAGGAUGCGAGCGUUAUCCGGAUUCAUUGGGUUUAAAGGGUGCGUAGGCGGUUUUUUAAGUCAGUGGUGAAAUCCUGCGGCUCAACCGUAGAACUGCCAUUGAAACUGAAAAACUUGAAUAUAAUUGAGGUAGGCGGAAUGAGUAGUGUAGCGGUGAAAUGCUUAGAUAUUACUCAGAACACCAAUUGCGAAGGCAGCUUACCAAGCUAUAAUUGACGCUGAGGCACGAAAGCGUGGGGAUC
rnacentral:rRNA from 1 species